UGGAACUCGGCGGCCUCCGUGGCCUCCCUCACCAGCUCCUGGUAUCGGGGACAGCUGCGUGUAGGGAACCUCAGUAGCUGGAGGAAACGGAGGCUCAGCGGGAACAGCAGAGUGACGGGCCCGACUGCAGGCGGUGGGGAGUCGGGCUGCGGGGCCCUGUCUCCGGUCCAGCGUCUCUCCCAGAUCCGGCUGCACAGUGUCGGGGAACAUGGGUUCGAGCCCUGGUCUGGGAAGAUCCCACAUGCAGCAGAGAAACUAGGCCCGUGUGCCACAACUACUGAGACUGCGCUCUAGAGCCCGAGUGCCACAACUACUGAGCCUGCGAGGCACAACUACUGAAGUCCGCGCCUAGAGCCCGUGCUCCGCAACAAGAGAAGCCACCACAAUGAGAAGCCCAUGCCCGCCGCAGCUAGAGAAAGCCCGCGUGCAGCAACAAAGACCCAACAUAGCCAAAAGAAGUGUUGAUCUGAUUAUCACCAUCUCCAUGGUGCAGACGGGGAAACCGAGGCACAGCAAGGGUUGACCCUAUUCCAUGAGGGAGGAGACUACACGGGAUAUGAACUCCAGGAGCUCUGUGCCCUUGAGGAAGCCUCUGUCUUCGUCUCCAUCCUGGCCCCCCUCCCCUCUGGAUCCCCAUUGGGGUCAGCCAGGGACGGGAGCAGGAACUCCUAGGAUGAGAGGUACUGGCUGCAGUAUAGCUUCCUUCGGGGAACCCCCUGUCCCUUUAGGUUCUGAUGACAUGGAUCUCAGCC